AUCAUGGCUCAGGAUGAACGCUAGCUACAGGCUUAACACAUGCAAGUCGAGGGGCAGCAUUAUCGAAGCUUGCUUUGAUAGAUGGCGACCGGCGCACGGGUGAGUAACGCGUAUCCAACCUUCCCCAUAGUCAGGAAUAGCCCGGCGAAAGUCGAAUUAAUGCCUGAUGUUUUCCACGGACGGCAUCUGAUGUGGAACAAGGAUUGAUCGCUAUGGGAUGGGGAUGCGUCUGAUUAGCUUGUUGGCGGGGUAACGGCCCACCAAGGCAACGAUCAGUAGGGGUUCUGAGAGGAAGGUCCCCCACAUUGGAACUGAGACACGGUCCAAACUCCUACGGGAGGCAGCAGUGAGGAAUAUUGGUCAAUGGGCGGAAGCCUGAACCAGCCAAGUAGCGUGAGGGAUGACUGCCCUAUGGGUUGUAAACCUCUUUUAUAAGGGAAUAAAAUACGGGACGUGUCCUGUUUUGCAUGUACCUUAUGAAUAAGGACCGGCUAAUUCCGUG
rnacentral:rRNA from 1 species